rnacentral:rRNA from 1 species
GAUGAACGCUGGCGGCGUGCCUAAUACAUGCAAGUCGAGCGAACGGACGAGAAGCUUGCUUCUCUGGUGUUAGCGGCGGACGGGUGAGUAACACGUGGAUAACCUACCUAUAAGACUGGGAUAACUUCGGGAAACCGUAGCUAAUACCGGAUAAUAUUUUGAACCGCAUGGUUCAAAAGUGAAAGACGGUCUUGCUGUCACUUAUAGAUGGAUCCGCGCUGCAUUAGCUAGUUGGUAAGGUAACGGCUUACCAAGGCAACGAUGCAUAGCCGACCCGAGAGGGUGAUCGGCCACACUGGAACUGAGACACGGUCCAGACUCCUACGGGAGGCAGCAGUAGGGAAUCUUCCGCAAUGGGCGAAAGCCUGACGGAGCAACGCCGCGUGAGUGAUGAAGGUCUUCGGAUCGUAAAACUCUGUUAUUAGGGAAGAACAUAUGUGUAAGUAACUGUGCACAUCUUGACGGUACCUAAUCAGAAAGCCACGGCUAACUACGUG